rnacentral:rRNA from 1 species
CGGGUGAGUAACGCGUGAGGAACCUGCCUCAAAGAGGGGGACAACAGUUGGAAACGACUGCUAAUACCGCAUAAGCCCACGGCUCGGCAUCGAGCAGAGGGAAAAGGAGUGAUCCGCUUUGAGAUGGCCUCGCGUCCGAUUAGCUGGUUGGUGAGGUAACGGCCCACCAAGACGACGAUCGGUAGCCGGACUGAGAGGUUGAACGGCCACAUUGGGACUGAGACACGGCCCAG